AUUGAACGCUGGCGGCAGGCUUAACACAUGCAAGUCGAGCGGGGUGAGGUGCUUCGGUACUGAUCCUAGCGGCGGACGGGUGAGUAAUGCUUAGGAAUCUGCCAUUUAGUGGGGGACAACAUUCCGAAAGGGAUGCUAAUACCGCAUACGUCCUACGGGAGAAAGCAGGGGAUCUUCGGACCUUGCGCUAAAUGAUGAGCCUAAGGCGGAUUAGCUAGUUGGUGGGGUAAAGGCCUACCAAGGCGACGAUCUGUAGCGGGUCUGAGAGGAUGAUCCGCCACACUGGGACUGAGACACGGCCCAGACUCCUACGGGAGGCAGCAGUGGGAAUAUUGGACAAUGGGCGGAAGCCUGAUCCAGCCAUGCCGCGUGUGUGAAGAAGGCCUUUUGGUUGUAAAGCACUUUAAGCGAGGAGGAGGCUACCUAGAUUAAUACUCUGGGAUAGUGGACGUUACUCGCAGAAUAAGCACCGGCUAACUCUGUGCCAGCCGCCGCCGUAAAAC
rnacentral:rRNA from 1 species